rnacentral:lncRNA from 1 species
GGACCAACCUGCUGUGUGACGACACGCUGUCCUCGCGCCCAUCUGGCACCAGAGCCCGGCUUCUCCAUCUGGGUCCCCAUCUGGAACAUCACCAUUGAACCUACCUCCACAUGGCAGAAUAAGAGCCCCUACCUAGGGUGGUGCCUGCUGAGGCAAGUGGAUCAUCUGGCUCUGGAAGAGACUCCACAGAGAACUGUUACAUGCGCAGGAGCCUCCAACUGCUGCCCUGCAUCAGGGCAAAGGAGCCACAGCUGGGCAAGAACUCAACCGAGGAAGUGGGCAUAUCUGCCUACGGCAUGCUCCUGCCCAGAGCAGGCACCCUCCUGCUGCACAGAAAGUCCUUCUGCCUAAAAACCAUGGCCAACUUAUGGCGAACUAGACUCAAGUGUCAAAGAGGCGCUUCCAGAAGACCGUGUUCAUCUGUGCUAAGCGUGGAGCGGACAAUGGGGAAUCACUGCUGUGAACACCUGGAGUUCAUUGCUGUUGCUUUGUGGAUAAAGAUAGAAGGUGUAAACAUACAGGGCACCAGGAGAGAAGCAGGCGUUACCACAGAGGGAUGGCAGGGUGUGGAGAGCCUCUCUACCUGGCUGUGGAGAUCUGUACUUAGAUCAAGUGAC